rnacentral:rRNA from 1 species
GGGACACGUGGUAUCCUGUCUGAAUAUGGGGGGACCAUCCUCCAAGGCUAAAUACUCCUGACUGACCGAUAGUGAACCAGUACCGUGAGGGAAAGGCGAAAAGAACCCCGGCGAGGGGAGUGAAAAAGAACCUGAAACCGUGUACGUACAAGCAGUGGGAGCCUCUUUUAUGGGGUGACUGCGUACCUUUUGUAUAAUGGGUCAGCGACUUAUAUUCUGUAGCAAGGUUAACCGAAUAGGGGAGCCGAAGGGAAACCGAGUCUUAACUGGGCGUUAAGUUGCAGGGUAUAGACCCGAAACCCGGUGAUCUAGCCAUGGGCAGGUUGAAGGUUGGGUAACACUAACUGGAGGACCGAACCGACUAAUGUUGAAAAAUUAGCGGAUGACUUGUGGCUGGGGGUGAAAGGCCAAUCAAACCGGGAGAUAGCUGGUUCUCCCCGAAAGCUAUUUAGGUAGCGCCUCGUGAAUUCAUCUCCGGGGGUAGAGCACUGUUUCGGCAAGGGGGUCAUCCCGACUUACCAACCCGAUGCAAACUGCGAAUACCGGAGAAUGUUAUCACGGGAGACACACGGCGGGUGCUAACGUCCGUCGUGAAGAGGGAAACAACCCAGACCGCCAGCUAAGGUCCCAAAGUCAUGGUUAAGUGGGAAACGAUGUGGGAAGGCCCAGACAGCCAGGAUGUUGGCUUAGAAGCAGCCAUCAUUUAAAGAAAGCGUAAUAGCUCACUGGUCGAGUCGGCCUGCGCGGAAGAUGUAACGGGGCUAAACCAUGCACCGAAGCUGCGGCAGCGACACUAUGUGUUGUUGGGUAGGGGAGCGUUCUGUAAGCCUGUGAAGGUGUACUGUGAGGUAUGCUGGAGGUAUCAGAAGUGCGAAUGCUGACAUAAGUAACGAUAAAGCGGGUGAAAAGCCCGCUCGCCGGAAGACCAAGGGUUCCUGUCCAACGUUAAUCGGGGCAGGGUGAGUCGACCCCUAAGGCGAGGCCGAAAGGCGUAGUCGAUGGGAAACAGGUUAAUAUUCCUGUACUUGGUGUUACUGCGAAGGGGGGACGGAGAAGGCUAUGUUGGCCGGGCGACGGUUGUCCCGGUUUAAGCGUGUAGGCUGGUUUUCCAGGCAAAUCCGGAAAAUCAAGGCUGAGGCGUGAUGACGAGGCACUACGGUGCUGAAGCAACAAAUGCCCUGCUUCCAGGAAAAGCCUCUAAGCAUCAGGUAACAUUAAAUCGUACCCCAAACCGACACAGGUGGUCAGGUAGAGAAUACCAAGGCGCUUGAGAGAACUCGGGUGAAGGAACUAGGCAAAAUGGUGCCGUAACUUCGGGAGAAGGCACGCUGAUAUGUAGGUGAAGUCCCUCGCGGAUGGAGCUGAAAUCAGUCGAAGAUACCAGCUGGCUGCAACUGUUUAUUAAAAACACAGCACUGUGCAAACACGAAAGUGGACGUAUACGGUGUGACGCCUGCCCGGUGCCGGAAGGUUAAUUGAUGGGGUUAGCGCAAGCGAAGCUCUUGAUCGAAGCCCCGGUAAACGGCGGCCGUAACUAUAACGGUCCUAAGGUAGCGAAAUUCCUUGUCGGGUAAGUUCCGACCUGCACGAAUGGCGUAAUGAUGGCCAGGCUGUCUCCACCCGAGACUCAGUGAAAUUGAACUCGCUGUGAAGAUGCAGUGUACCCGCGGCAAGACGGAAAGACCCCGUGAACCUUUACUAUAGCUUGACACUGAACAUUGAGCCUUGAUGUGUAGGAUAGGUGGGAGGCUU